AUACUUACCUGGCAGGGGCGAGACCGUUAUCAAGAAGGUGGUUCACCCAGGGUGAGGCUCAGCCAUUGCACUCCAGUUGUGCUGACCCCUGCGAAUUCCCCAAAAACCUUCUCUGCUUCAAGGGCGCUGUACAAUGGCUGAAACUGCGGUCUGACCCCAGCUU